CGCCUCUUGAUAAUAAUAAGAGGUCUCGCCUGCCCAGUGACAAACUUCAACGGCCGCGGUACCCUAACCGUGCAAAGGUAGCAUAAUCACUUGUUCUUUAAAUAAGGACUCGUAUCAAUGGCAUCACGAGGGUUGCACUGUCUCCCCCCUCCAAUCAGUGAAACUGAUCUCUCCGUGAAAAAGCGGAGAUAAAACUAUAAGACGAGAAGACCCCGUGGAGCUUUAAACCAACAGCAAUUUAGUAAAAAAAUUUCCUUUCAGCUAUAAAAUCAUGCUAACGGCUUUGGGUUGGGGUGACCACGGAGUAAAAUUUAACCUCCGUGUCGAAAAGAUAAUCUUAACCUAAGAAUUACUAUUCUAAGAAUUAGAAAACUAACGAACUAUGACCCGAUUAUCGAUCAACGAACCAAGUUACCCCGGGGAUAACAGCGCAAUCUACUUCAAGAGUCCUUAUCGACAAGUAGGCUUACGACCUCGAUGUUGGAUCAGGGUAUCCUAGUGGUGCAGCCGCUACUAAAGGUUCGUUUGUUCAACGAUUAAAACCCU
rnacentral:rRNA from 1 species